rnacentral:rRNA from 1 species
GUCUACGGCCAUACCACUGGGAAAGCACCGGUUCUCGUCCGAUCACCGAAGUCAAGCCUGGUAGGGCCAGGUUAGUACCCGGAUGGGUGACUGCCUGGGGAUACCUGGUGCUGCAGACU